GACAGAGGAUGCAAGCGUUAUCCGGAAUGAUUGGGCGUAAAGCGUCUGUAGGUGGCUUUUUAAGUCCGCCGUUCAAAUCCCAGGGCUCGAACCCUGGACAGGCGGUGGAAACUACCAAGCUGGAGUACGGUAGGGGCAGAGGGAAUUUCCGGUGGAGCGGUGAAAGUGCGUAGAGAUCGGAAAGAACACCAAACGGCGAAAGCACUCUGCUGGGCCGACACUGACACUGAGAGACGAAAGCUAGGGGAGCGAAUGGGA
rnacentral:rRNA from 1 species